AAAAAAAGAAAUUAUAAUUCCAGUUCAUUUUCAAAUACAUAUCCCGAUAGACUGUUAAAGAGUAGGGAGUGCCUUUUCGAACUCUGCAAUUGGUAAGAUUAAUGUCAUUCUUCUUUGUCGUUCACUGAUUCACCAUCAAUUUCUCAUAGUAGCAGGUUACUAUGGGUUCUUCGAUUAGACUUUGGGGAGCAGUUCUACACAAAUUUUCUAAUGGUAUCACCAGCAAAUGCCCCAAUGUCUUCCCUCUCCGAAAGAGUUUGGUGGACAGGAAAGUGUGUCAGCCAUGGGUUUCAUCUGAAGUGACAUCUAAACACCCUGUAAGAAGGAUAUGGACUUUCAAUCCAGUCUGUAUGGGCAGGCGUUCUAGCAAGAUUGCUGGCAGAAAGGGGGCUCAGGAUGCAAAGAAGGCAAAGCGGUAUGGAAAAAUUGGGAAGGAGAUUGUCUCUGCUGUCAAGAAAGGUGGUCCAAAUCCAGUAUCAAAUACAGUUUUGGCUGCUGUUUUAGAGAAAGCUAAGGAGCUUGAUGUACCUAAGGAAAUUUUGGAGCGCAACAUGAAGAGAGCAUCUGAGAAGGGACAAGAGGCUUACAUUGAGAAAUUUUAUGAGGUAUACGGUUUUGGAGGAGUGGGUAUUAUAAUUGAGGUCCUAACAGAUAAAAUAAACAGAUCAGUGGCAGCUGUUAGAGAGGUGGUAAAGGACUGUGGUGGAAAGAUGGCAGAUCCAGGAUCCAUUAUGUUCAAGUUUAGGCGUGCUAGGGUUGUAAACAUAAAGGUCACAGAUGCUGACAAAGAUCAGCUCCUUGCAAUUGCCUUGGAUGCUGGUGCUGAGGAUGUUAUUGAACCUCCCAUAUAUGAAGAUGAUCAAGAAGAAGAUAGCUCAGAAAGCUACUAUAAGGUCGUAAGUUCAGCAGAGAACUACUCAGUUAUACUAUCAAGGCUGCGUGAGGAAGGAAUAUCUUUUGAACCUGAUAAUGGCUUUGAGCUACUUCCAAUAACCACUAUCGAGGUAGAUGAUGAAGCCAUGGAGUUGAACAAGGAACUUAUGUCCAAACUUCUUGAACUUGACGAUGUUGACGCUGUUUAUACAGAUCAGAAAUGACCAAAUCACCUGCUGUGAUCAUCAUCUCUGCAAAUGAAGCUCGGUUGUGGUACUCUAGAUAGGAAUUGCUGAGAUUGGAUGAUAUGACUUGGAAUUGCUGAGAUUGGAUGAUAUGACUUGGAAUCGACUGGUGCAUUAACCCAGAUUCUUCGCUUACUAAUUUCAGACAAGUUGAGCCAAGUCCAAUCUAUUGCAGCUGAUUCUGGGACAAUUCAGAUUGGAAUUGAUGGAGACCAAAUCCCAUACCUGAUUUCAAGUUUUAAACCUUGUUCGGCGGAAAUAAUAUGAUUUGCUACCUGAUGUGAAGAUACAUAAGGUUAUUUAUAUACAGUGAAUGAAAGUAAACCCCAAGCUUUAUAUUA